rnacentral:rRNA from 1 species
CAGUAGCCACGGUAAUACGUAGGGGGCAAGCGUUAUCCGGAAUUACUGGGUGUAAAGGGAGCGUAGACGGUUAAACAAGUCUGAAGUGAAAUGCCGGGGCUCAACCCCGGAGCUGCUUUGGGAACUGUAGAACUGGAGUGUCGGAGGGGUAAGCGGAAUUCCCAGUGUAGCGGUGAAAUGCGUAGAUAUUGGGAGGAACACCGGCGGCGAAGGCGGCUUACUGGACGACAACUGACGUUGAGGCUCGAAGGCGUGGGUAGCAAACUGGAUUAGAUACCCCCGUAGUCCCUGUCUCUUAUAC